GGGGAAAGUAGGGAACGAUAGUAAGCCGCUAACUUGUCUAUCUAGCGGUUAAAAUCCGUUAUUACCCCU
rnacentral:tRNA from 1 species